rnacentral:rRNA from 1 species
CCUACGGGAGGCAGCAGCCGGGAAUCUUGCGCAAUGGGCGAAAGCCUGACGCAGCAACGCCGCGUGAGUGAUGAAGGUCUUCGGAUCGUAAAGCUCUGUUGUUGGGGACGAAGGGCGAAGGGUUAAUAGCCCCUAGCCUGACGGUACCCUUCGAGGAAGCUCCGGCCAACUACGUGCCAGCAGCCGCGGUAAUACGUAGGGAGCAAGCGUUGUCCGGAAUCAUUGGGCGUAAAGGGUGCGUAGGCGGCCUGGUAAGUCUGCUGUGAAAUCUUGGGGCUCAACCCCAAGCUUGCAGUGGAAACUGCCUGGCUAGAGGAUGGUAGAGGCGAGUGGAAUUCCCGGUGUAGCGGUGAAAUGCGCAGAUAUCGGGAGGAACACCAGUAGCGAAGGCGGCUCGCUGGGCCAUUCCUGACGCUGAGGCACGAAAGCUAGGGGAGCAAACAGGAUUAGAUACCCUGGUAGUCCUAGCCGUAAACGAUGGACACUGGGUGUGGGGGGAGUCGAAUCCCUCCGUGCCGAAGCCAACGCGUUAAGUGUCCCGCCUGGGGAGUACGGCCGCAAGGCUAAAACUCAAAUGAAUUGACGGGG